GACGAACGCUGGCGGCGUGCUUAACACAUGCAAGUCGAACGGUGACCCAGGGCUUGCCCUGGUGAUCAGUGGCGAACGGGUGAGUAACACGUGGGCAACCUGCCCCUGACUUCGGGAUAACUCCUCGAAGAGGAGCUAAUACCGGAUACGACCACUUCGGACAUCCGAUGGUGGUGGAAAGUUUUCGGUCAGGGAUGGGCCCGCGGCCUAUCAGCUAGUUGGUGGGGUAAUGGCCUACCAAGGCGACGACGGGUAGCCGGCCUGAGAGGGCGACCGGCCACACUGGGACUGAGACACGGCCCAGACUCCUACGAGAGGCAGCAGUGGGGAAUAUUGCGCAAUGGGCGAAAGCCUGACGCAGCGACGCCGCGUGAGGGAUGAAGGCCUUCGGGUUGUAAACCUCUUUCAGCAGGGACGAAGCGAAAGUGACGGUACCUGCAGAAGAAGCACCGGCUAACUACGUGCCAGCAGCCGCGGUAAU
rnacentral:rRNA from 1 species